UUUUGGUGAGGAGGAGAAGGGCAUGGAAAAAAAAGAGAAAUGCUAUACAUGAUUUUAAGAUAAUAAUGUUUACAAGUAUUAUUGGUAACACCACUUUACACACACUUAUAGACCAUAUAUUACUUGCAUGUAUGAUCAAAACUAAGAUAGUCAUUGAAAAGUCUCAUCCAUGAAGAAUACCUGCUAAAUGUCCAAGCUCAUGACACUGUUGCCAUAAAAUGGUUAUACACUUUAGAAUUGAUGAAAUUCUCCUACACAAAACAAAUCAUAAACCAAUGAAGGAUUCAAAUAUUGUGCUAGUGAAAGAGAAGAAAAAUAUUGUCUGGAAUGAUAUCCUUGAGGAUGCAGAAGAGGCUCGUGGGGAGCUCUCUGAUAAAUGCACACUAAUAAUUGUUGAUAGCGAUUAUGAUAACCAUUUUGUUAAGAGUGACCUAUCACUAAUUGGCAAACAGUUUUAGAGUGUGUACCCAUUGAGAGGAAGAUUCUCAAUCCGUGGGAAAGUAGCAGCAAAAAUAUCAUGGACAACAAAAUAAUUAAUGAUAUCAUAAAAAUUCUUGGAAUAACAAAAGACAAGGUGUACAAUUCGACUAAUUAGUUGAGAUACAGUCAUGUAGUAAUCAUGGCUCAUGUGGUGAAUUACUUAAAUAUUACAGUUCCAUGUAUGUAUUUGUUUUAUUCCCCCAUACUAUAAUCCCAAACUAUUUCUUUCAGGACAUCGA